AGCCGUGUGAUAAAUACAUAGCGAACUAUUCUUUCGCCUUUUACUAAAGAAUACCGUGUAUUUGUCACAUUAAGCGGCGCCAAUUUUUUGAUUGGGCCUUACUUAUAGGGCCU
rfam:Cajanus cajan Scaffold128446_29, whole genome shotgun sequence.